UCAUUUUCCUUCAUCCACAUCAGCAUUGUAGUUUAAAUGAAAAUGUAAUUUUUUUUUUUAGUUUUUUUUUGGCAGAUUUAGGUUUUGGGCCAUUUUUUGCCAUUUAGGAUUAAGCCCAUUUUAGAAUUUGACCUAGGGUUUUUUGCAAAAGGGGGGAAGAUCCCAAACUCUCUCACACUCUCUCAUUAAGGUUUUUCUUUUUUUUUUGGACAGCAAGGGAGAGCUCUCUUCUAGGUUUUCAUCUUCAUUUAGUUUUUCCUUUUCAUUGUAUUGAAUUUGAAUUUCAUUUUAAUUGCAAUCUCCAUUUUUGUUUCUGUCUCUACACUUCCAUUCUUCAUUUUGAAUUUCGUUUUCUCCCAAUUUUGUUUCCUGCUAGUUGUUACGUUUUUUUUUUUCUGUUGUUGCGUUUCAGGUUUCCAAUUCCAGUGUUACUUCGUUUUGUGUUUCCGUUUCUGGAUUGGGUUGCACUUUUUU
rnacentral:lncRNA from 1 species